CGGCCGCCACGGCGAGCACGCUGGUGGCCACGGUGGCCGCCUCCCGCUCCGCGGUGGGGCGGGGGUUGCCGUCCGGGUCGGCGAGCAGCCGGCC
rnacentral:tRNA from 1 species